GCAUGAUCACGGCUCACGGCAGCCUCGACUUCCCGGGCUCAGGUGAAGCUCACUGUGCAAAUUUGUAUCCAGCCCAAACUACCGAUUCAGCUGAACUAACUUGUGACGAGAAAAAAUCUUUUGAGUUUCUGCAAAAGUGGCUAACUAACCCAAGUGAUCGAUGAGAAAGGAAAGCUCAAUGGAAUGCAAAGUCUGCCCUCCAUUUUCUCACCAAAACACAAAACCUCAGCAAGGAUGAAGUUAAAGGAGAUGGAAGGACAGUACUUUUAGAUUUAAAUGGUGUGUGUGUGUUUUAUAUUUUAAAUAGUUUUUUAAAUCAAGUUCUUCCUUUGUGAUGUUUAGAAGCAUCAAACCAUUCCAACACUUAGAAAUUAAUUGUACUAGAGGAUCAUGUGCAUGCUAAUUAUUGGUUGCUACAGAAACAGACUGGAUUUCCUAGAACUAUGUCAAUUUCAUGUAAUCUUGUUGUUUUCAAAAAAGCCCAUUUAUGAAAUGCACAUAUGUGAUUUGAUUAAAUCAUUUUGUAAGCCA